rnacentral:rRNA from 1 species
UAAUGCUUGGGAACAUGCCUUGAGGUGGGGGACAACAGUUGGAAACGACUGCUAAUACCGCAUAAUGUCUACGGACCAAAGGGGGCUUCGGCUCUCGCCUUUAGAUUGGCCCAAGUGGGAUUAGCUAGUUGGUGAGGUAAUGGCUCACCAAGGCGACGAUCCCUAGCUGGUUUGAGAGGAUGAUCAGCCACACUGGGACUGAGACACGGCCCAGACUCCUACGGGAGGCAGCAGUGGGGAAUAUUGCACAAUGGGCGCAAGCCUGAUGCAGCCAUGCCGCGUGUGUGAAGAAGGCCUUCGGGUUGUAAAGCACUUUCAGUCAGGAGGAAAGGUUAGUAGUUAAUACCUGCUAGCUGUGACGUUACUGACAGAAGAAGCACCGGCUAACUCCGUGCCAGCAGCCGCGGUAAUACGGAGGGUGCGAGCGUUAAUCGGAAUUACUGGGCGUAAAGCGUACGCAGGCGGUUUGUUAAGCGAGAUGUGAAAGCCCCGGGCUCAACCUGGGAACUGCAUUUCGAACUGGCAAACUAGAGUGUGAUAGAGGGUGGUAGAAUUUCAGGUGUAGCGGUGAAAUGCGUAGAGAUCUGAAGGAAUACCGAUGGCGAAGGCAGCCACCUGGGUCAACACUGACCCUCAUGUACGAAAGCGUGGGGAGCAAACGGGAUUAGAUACCCCGGUAGUCCACGCCGUAAACGAUGUCUACUAGAAGCUCGGAACCUC